rnacentral:rRNA from 1 species
GAUGAACGCUGGCGGCGUGCCUAAUACAUGCGAGUCGAGCGAACAGAUAAGGAGCUUGCUCCUUCGACGUUAGCAGCGGACGGGUGAGUAACACGUGGGUAACCUACCUAUAAGACUGGAAUAACUCCGGGAAACCGGGGCUAAUGCCGGAUAACAUUUAGAACCGCAUGGUUCUAAAGUGAAAGAUGGUUUUACUAUCACUUAUAGAUGGACCCGCGCCGUAUUAGCUAGUUGGUAAGGUAACGGCUUACCAAGGCAACGAUACGUAGCCGACCUGAGAGGGUGAUCGGCCACACUGGAACUGAGACACGGUCCAGACUCCUACGGGAGGCAGCAGUAGGGAAUCUUCCGCAAUGGGCGAAAGCCUGACGGAGCAACGCCGCGUGAGUGAUGAAGGUCUUCGGAUCGUAAAACUCUGUUAUUAGGGAAGAACAAAUGUGUAAGUAACUGUGCACGUCUUGACGGUACCUAAUCAGAAAGCCACGGCUAACUACGUG